AUUUUAAUAGUUUAUUAAAAAUAUUGAUUUUGUAAUUCGAUGAAAUCUAUUUAGAUUUAAAAUA
rnacentral:tRNA from 1 species